AGCCACUCAGUGAGCACAGAGCGAACUAUUCUUUCGCCUUUUACUAAAGAAUACCGUGUGCUUGUUGUAAAAAGUGGCAUACGCCAAUUUUUGAAGGGGUUUUCUUCAAUGAAAACC